GCCAGGUGUGGUGGCGUGCACCUGUAAUCCCAGCUGUUCGGGAGGCUGAGGCAGGAGAAUCACUUGAACCCGGGAGUUGGAGGUUGCAGUGAGCCAAGAGUGUGUCACUGCACUCCAGCCUGGGCAACAGAGUGAGACUCUGUCUUUA
ensembl:misc_RNA Metazoa_SRP Metazoan signal recognition particle RNA